AUGGAAAUGUCACUGUUCUUUCUCAUAUUAUAUUUCUGUUUCUCAAGUGUCCAUUCUGAUGCUGGUCUCACCCAGUCAUCAGACCCAGUGGUGGUGAAGCCUGGAGGUUCUCACAGACUCUCAUGUACGGCUUCUGAUUUCUCUAUGAGUAGCUAUUAUAUGGGCUGGAUCAGACAGGCUCCUGGUGGAGGAUUACAGUGGUUGUGCAGGAUAUAUUCAGGGAGCAUACACUAUGCUGAUGUCAUUAAAGGACGAUUCACAAUCUCCACUGACUAUAGUAAGAACAUGUUAUAUCUACAAAUGACCAACAUGAAGACUGAGGACUCUGCCGUGUAUUACUGUGCUAGAGACACACUGAUGAAAAUAAUCCCACGUCUGUUACAAAAAACAAAAUGUAUUCAGUAUGGCUGA